rnacentral:rRNA from 1 species
AAGACCUUGCGCUUUUGGAGCGGCCGAUGUCUGAUUAGCUAGUUGGUAGGGUAAUGGCCUACCAAAGCUUCGAUCAGUAGCUGGUCUGAGAGGACGAUCAGCCACACUGGGACUGAGACACGGCCCAGACUCCUACGGGAGGCAGCAGUGGGGAAUUUUGGACAAUGGGCGCAAGCCUGAUCCAGCCAUGCCGCGUGAGUGAAGAAGGCCUUCGGGUUGUAAAGCUCUUUCAGCCGGGAAGAAAAGGCUACGACGAAUAAUCGUAGCUCAUGACGGUACCGGAAGAAGAAGCACCGGCUAACUACGUGCCAGCAGCCGCGGUAAUACGUAGGGUGCGAGCGUUAAUCGGAAUUACUGGGCGUAAAGGGUGCGCAGGCGGUUUUGUAAGUCAGAUGUGAAAUCCCCGGGCUUAACCUGGGAACU